UCAUUAGUUUUUUAAUUGAAAGCCGGAAUGAAGGGCUGGAUAAAAAAAUAACUGUGUUUAAUCAAUUAAAGGACAAUUUUAUUUUUAAGUCAAAAAGCUUAAAUAAUAUUAAAAGACGAGAAGACCCUAUAGAGUUUUAUAACCAAUAAAAUUUAUAAUUAAAGUAUUAAAUUUAAAAGUUUUUUUAAUUAUUAGAUUGGGGUGACCAAAAAAUUGAAUUAACUUUUUUUGUAUAAUAAUAUUAAUAAAUAAUUAAUUGAUCGAUAAGUAAUGAUUAAAAGAUUAAAUUACCUUAGGGAUAACAGCGUAAUUUUUUUUGAGAGUUCAAAUGGAAAAAAAAGAGUGCGACCUCGAUGUUGGAUUAAAAUUAAUUUUUGGUGUAGAAGCUAAGA
rnacentral:rRNA from 1 species